AAAGAGAUCAGAGGCCUCUUGCACCAAAACUCAGGGACACGACCAAUGUUAAUAUUCCUCCCAAGGACACAGAAAGCAGGCCAUCACAAGCAGAUUCUUUUUCCCUCCUCAACAAGAAGAAAGAAAGCCAUCCUAGUGUUACAAUUGGCUUCUUUCAUCUGAAGAAACAUGGAGCAAGGUUCAAAAAGCUUACAGCUAUCAUGUGACAGUGA